UUCUGGCUCAGGAUGAACGCUAGCUACAGGCUAACACAUGCAAGUCGAGGGGCAGCGAGGGGUUAGCUUGCUAAUCCUGUCGGCGACCGGCGCACGGGUGAGUAACGCGUAUCCAACCUGGCCCAUAGUAGGGAAUAGCCCGGCGAAAGUCGGAUUAAUGCCCUAUGUUAUCCGAUGAGGACAUCUGAAUUGGAUUAAAGAUUCAUCGCUAUGGGAUGGGGAUGCGUCUGAUUAGCUUGCCGGCGGGGUAACGGCCCACCGGGGCAACGAUCAGUAGGGGUUCUGAGAGGAAGGUCCCCCACAUUGGAACUGAGACACGGUCCAAACUCCUACGGGAGGCAGCAGUGAGGAAUAUUGGUCAAUGGCCGCAAGGCUGAACCAGCCAAGUAGCCGUGCAGGAUGACGGCCCUAUGGGUUGUAAACUGCUUUUGCGGGGGAAUAAAGUGAGGGACGCGUCCCUUUUUGUAUGUACCCUGAGAAUAAGGACCGGCUAAUUCCGUGCCAGCAGCAGC
rnacentral:rRNA from 1 species